rnacentral:lncRNA from 1 species
GCAAAUGUUAUAUCAAUGAACCAUCAUUCAUAAAACAUGGAUACAUACCCGUCAAGGCCUCUGACAUACUGUACAUAAUAAAUUUGUGUCUACAAAGCCUCACAGAUUAUUUGACAUAAAAUGGGACAGGGUACCGGCCUACCCAUAGGUCUAUAGCAAAAAUUUUGACACGAUGACUCAUAAAACUCGGCUACACUCCGAAUGAGGGGGAGUCUUACCGAUCCUUCGAUGAACGCAGACCUCGUCUAUUGUGAGGGUUCGUCAAUCUGAUUAUCUAUACCUGUAGGCAUGAAUGCAGCAUCCCCAACAACAGGAUGUCAGUACGAAUAAUGUACUGAGUAUGUAAGGCAGAACUAAAACAUAAUAAUAAGUCAAUAUUAAUUAAGGACAAGGAAGACAAUAUAGAGUAAAUGACUCAACCUGUAAAUUUGAAUAGCUUUGUAAAUCAUGAAAUAUUUAUAGUAUCGUGCAUAUGCAUAUAAAUGCCAUGUAAUGCAUAGGUCUGUACGUACAUAACAUCAUAAAGCCUCUAAGGGCAUCACAUCAUAUCAUCUCAGCCACUGUGGGUAAAAUCAUCAUCGUAUACCAGCUGAUCAAGUGGUGGUGCGUAUAUAAUGCCAUAACCUUUUCCCAUAUCCCAAAUACAUAUAUUUAUAUACCAUCUAGUGCCAUUGUAGGCAGAAUCAUCAACAUAUAUCAGCUGAUCAGGUGGUGGUGCGUAUAUAACGCCAUAACCUUUUCCAAUAUUCCAUAUACAUAUAUGCGUAUAUAAUGCCAUCUGGUGUCACUGUGGGCAAAAUCAUCAACGUAUGUCAGUUGAUCAGGUGGUGGUAUGUAUAUAACGCCAUAACCUUUUCCCAUAUCUCAUAUACAUAUAUAUACAUAUAUACACGUAUAUAACGUCAUCUGAGUCAUGGGUAAAUGCACAUGUAAAUGAAUGCAAUGCAUGAGAAGUACGUUAAUAAAAUCUCUCGGAAUUUCAUAAGACCAUUAUGCCUUUGAUUAAUAUCAUGAAGUGAACUUUUUCAACUUACGUAUUUUUCUGAGACCUAUGAACAGAAGAUGUAAUAAUAAGACACAUGGAAAUUCAAGAACAUAGGCACUUCUAGUACUUCUAUGAAUAAAGUCAUUUAUAGAAAUUGUGCAUUUUCUCGUUUCGUUUGUAUCAUAUGGAUCAAGCCAAAAUAAAGAAGGGAUAGACUUAACAUACCUGAACUAAAACUAGAUAAACAUUAGAGAAGAUUCAAAAUCAUUGUAAUGACGGAAAUUAAGCCAAUGAUUCUAUUAAGUAUAUUUGACUUCCCAUCCAUAGAAGACAGGUGAAUCUACAAGCCAGGUCUUGUAAAAGUUUUCUGAACUAGAAGCUCAAAGAAACGCAUAUAAAAUUGUAUAUGCUGGUUGAAUACUUAAUAGCUUCAAUAUUAAGGUGUUGUGGCCAUAAAGAAGAUACUAUGCAUGGACAAUAUAAUAAAUAAUUUCCACAGUCACUGUAAUUAAUUUUUGUUAAAGAUUAUCAAUCAACACUCUUACAAAAAAAUCAUCUUAAACUACCUUUUAAGUAAUUUAUGUAUAAAUAUUAUUUUCACCGUUAGUCCAUAAAAGUUAAACUCAAAAUUAAAUCACAGUAUUAGAAUUCUAGAAGUUAGUAGGAUUUCUCAGCUACUUUUCACUAACAUCAUUUUCCUUAAUUAGUCAAUACCCCAUGCGGAGCAGUCAGUCAAAAGUAGUCAAGCACAAAAUAAUUGUUGCUCUUUAUAUUUAACCUCCUCACUUACUUUCCUUAGACUUGUGAACUUACCCCUUACACUUCUUUCUUUGCUUCUCUCCUUCUAAUAUUCUUGAUGUCCCCAAUUGAUGUAAGAUCUCCAAAACAUUGUGACGAGAAAGAGUAUAACUUCAACUUAGAAAAAGUACUCCCAAUUAAGAAGUUAUUCUUUGGCUUCUCUACCAUUUUCCUCUCUAUUCUAUCAUUUAUCUUUCUUCUGUAUCUCACUCUCCACCCAACAAGAUCCAACUUCACUCUCAAAGAAUCUAAUAUUUAUCAACUCAACCUUUCAAGUCCACGUCAACUUCUCAACACCUCCAUUCAACUCACACACUUGUAUCCAAGAAUCCAAAUAAGAAAGUUGGAAUAUUUGUAUGGAUCAUGCCAAAAGAAAGAAGAGAUAGCCUUAACAUACCUGAGUCGAUUUUCUUGACAAUCCCUCUAACACACGACAAUAGCGACAACACGUAACGGCAAGAUCGGAGUAGGGAAAAAUUCGUAUGAUAUUCUUGAGAAAGGGUGGACCGCGGUCUUUUAAAAUUACAUCCCCGACCCUUAGGCACAGUACAAAAAGCUGAGAGCCUUCAUGAAUUGUUUCUACAAUUCAACCAUGGUAUAGUACAAUUCACUCUAUAAAUGACAAUAGAUGCUUUACUUGUACUCCAACUAAUCGAUCUGCUUAAAAUCUUCUUUCCAUUAUCAGGAGUUGGUGUCUUUGGUAUUUAUUGCACCGCUUACAUAUGAGCAACCCAUAUCAAAAGCACCAGCAUAGUAGAAAAAAUAUAUGAUUAACACUUCAAGAUAUUUUCCCCACAAAUACUAAUCAGUUAAUAGAAACUGGACUAUGGUAA